GGAAGUCUUGAGAGGAUUUCAAGCUGGUUAAAAUGACCAGAGCAGAGAGGAUGAUUUGGAAAAGGCCGCUUGCCUCUCCUGUAGGCUCUCCCCAGCAGCUUCUGAAGUGAUUCCGUGUGACUCAGACCAUCCCUUGGUCCCUCAGCUCCUGCAAAACACAUCAGAAGGACGCUCAAAGUUGAAGAAAGCUCAAGAGAACCAUCAGGCACUGAAGACUGAAGUCAUUUUGGAGUAGCAGCUUUGUGACCAGCACUGUGUUUCCGAGGAGUGUCUAUGCCUUGCAUUUAAUCCUAACAGCAACUCUGCAAGGGACCUUCUCUUAUCUGUGAUGGGGAGAGGAGGUUCAUCAGAAAGAAUAAGGUUCAUCUGUGUGCAUGGUCGCUCACAGAGAACAGAAUCUCCUGCUGCUGACAUCCGGCUGUUCCCUCCCAGGCUCUUCUCAGGGAGCUGCAAGAGAAAAGGAUUGUUUUGGCUUAAGAAGACAAAAGACAC
rnacentral:lncRNA from 1 species